AGCUGGUCACUAGAAUCUCUGUGUGUCCUUGAGUGUGCCCUGAACAGCAGCAUACAAAGAUCAUAUUCCCCCUCAGACAGGUAGUGGUGCUGUUGUAUGAAGCCAGGCAGAGGAGAACAUGGAAUUAUAGUGGGUAAAUGCAGUAAUCUCAAAGAGAUGGAAGAAUUCUAUGUGGUAGAUGCUGUUGGUAGCUCAAGGUACUAAAGGAAGCCUUACUGAGUCAAGCAGAGCCUCCUGGGAGAUGCACUUGCUAAGAAUUCCAGUAUUCCUAACAUGGAGGGAAAUGAGGCACCUUUGGUUAGCCCAGAGUCUGGAGUUUUCCAGGUAUGGGAGAAGAUGAGAAUUACCAUCCAUGAUGGAAAAGGACCCUUAUCACUGGGGAAGAGUGUGGGUAUGAGUGGUUGAAGAGCAUGGGUAACCGUGGUGGAGAAGCCAGGAAAAGAAACCUGAUGCGGAGGAGACGACGCCUUUUGUGAGAUCCUCAUGUGUGAACAAAGGGACGGGGCAGCAGGGAGAGCUCUCAGCCACAGCUCCCUGCGACCCACUUGUUCCAGCAGGGCCUGAAUUUUUUGACCUUCAGUGCCUAAUUCAAAUGGCAACAAAACACUUAGGCUGUGUGUUUG